rnacentral:lncRNA from 1 species
CCCGCCGUCUGGACGUCGCUGUCGGACGCCGUCAUGGGCGACGGCGCCGACCAGCCACCCCGCCGCUGGAUCCUCCUUCCCCGGCCGGCGCCGGCCAUGGCGACCACCACGCGUACAAGUACAAAAGCCCUCAUGCUCCAAUGAGAUCCAGCGAGACAGGUUCGUCCCCAUCUAGCCCGGUCAGCGCUCGUACCCUGCAUCGACCAGAUCCACUCGACGUCGUCGUCCAGAUCCGCACGAUGUCGACGGCCAGUGUUGAGGAGCGCCUCUGCCACCACUCCUCUGGGAUCUGGCAAGGAGGACGAAGAUCAGUAAAAUUUCGUAAUUGCUAUCCUCUUAGUCAGUUCUUGCUCGUAGUAGUUAGUAUAAAUAACUACUUGAUGUCCUCACACAGAUAAAUCCCUACAGAUUGUGCAUAUCUGUGCAAAUGAUAUUUGCUGAAACUCAUUUUGCUGAUAUCUAUGUACCUGUGUGUGGUUGAUCUGUGCAAGAUCUAUGAAAUUUAUGUUUCAAUUUGUUGGUGCAAGUUGUGAAACUCAUUUCUGUGUAAUAUAUGAAAUUAUUCUCUGAAAUAUAUGUAAUUACUUCCCUGUAAUAUAUUUGAUUGUGGUGUUGCAAGUUGUGAAACAAAUUUAUGUGAAAUGAUUUGUGGAAUAUAUGUGAAAUUUACAUUUCAAUCUGGUGAAACUGGAUUAUUUCAGUUUGUGGAAGUAUUAUAUAUUUCUCAAAAUGAUUGGAAUGAUUUUCAGUGAGAUAUGAAUUGAAAUAGCUAUGUUUAGUUGAGCUGUGCAAAAUAUAUGAAACUGCUACUUCUCAUAUUUGUAACUUAUUAUUUCAAUGAGAUAUGUAUUGAAAAAUAUGAAAUUACU